GACGAACCGUGCGAACGUUGUUCGGAAUCACUGGGCGUAAAGCGCACGUAGGCGGAUGUGUCAGUCAGGGGUGAAAUCCCGGAGCUCAACUUCGGAACUGCCUUUGAUACAGCACGUCUUGAGUCCGAUAGAGGUGGGUGGAAUUCCUAGUGUAGAGGUGAAAUUCGUAGAUAUUAGGAAGAACACCGGUGGCGAAGGCGGCCCACUGGAUCGGUACUGACGCUGAGGUGCGAAAGCCAGGGGAGCAAACGGG
rnacentral:rRNA from 1 species